AUUCACUCUCCUCUCUUUUCAACCUUGCUCUGGGCCCCAGGGGACUGAGCUGUAGGGCUUACAUCAACAGACUCCUGGCCUCUGGCUUCCUUGGCAGGAGCUCUGAGAGGGGAAGAGAUUGGGGUCAGAGUAAAUACUUAGGAUCCUUCCCCCCAGUUUACCCUGUGUAGGCCAUGUCUCUCAGGCAGAAGCCACAGCUCCUGUCCGGCAACCCCCUCCCUGCAGAUCUUCUCACUGGGUUUUGGUAAUUGCCCCCUUAUUAUGCUCCUUCAGAGUCUCUGGGUGGUUAAUAUGGUUAACGUGUUUGGCUGCUAACAGAAAUGUUGGAAGUUUGAGUCCUUUCAAGAGCAUCUAGGAAGAAAGCCCUGGCAGUUUACUUCCAAAAAUCAGCCAUUGAAAACCCCACUGAGUGCAGUUCUACUCUGACACACAUGAAGUCACCAUGAGUUGGAGCCAAGUCCAUGGCAACUGGUUACUGCUUUCAUGCCCCAUCAUGCUUAGGAGUGGGUAAUGGUUCUCCACAGCAGGAAACCCUGAGACACUGCACCAUCCUUGCUGGUUUCCCUGAACUCGGCCCACAUCUUGGUAAAUCCUCCCUUUAUGAAACUCUUCUCAGUUACCCAGUUAGGUGUGCCAUCUGUUUCCUGCCAGGACUGAGACUGAUAGAAAUAUUUACUUACUCACCAUGUUUAUUGUCUAUUGUUUAUCUUCUCCUUUAGAAUGUAAGUUCCAUGAGGGCAGAUAUUUUGUAUGUUUUCUUCAAUGCUGCAGCACGCAAUUAAUAUUUGUUGAAUAAAUAAGUCAAUAUUCAUUUUAUUUGUACUAAUAUGGUAACCAAAAAAACAACCUGGGACCCUGGCGGCGCAGUAGUUGAGAGCUGCAGCAUGCUAUGGCUGCUAACCAAAAGGUUGGCAGUUCAAAUCCACCAGCCACUCCUUGGAAACCCUAUGGGGGCAGUUCUACUCUGUCCUAUAGGGUCGCUAUGAGCGGGAACUGACAGCAAUGAGUUUGGUUUUUUUAAUAUGGUAACGACUAGCUGCAUGUAGCUAUUGAGCACUUGAAAUGAGGCUAGUGUGAUUGAAGACUGGAAUUUUUAACUUUAUAAAACUUUAACUAAUUUUAAUUUAAAUAGUCACAUGUGGUAAGUGGCUACAGUGCAGGGGCAAGGGGAUUUCCGGGGCUUAAGCAAUUCUCUAGCUACUAAAGUCCACUCUGCCCCAAGAGGGGUUAAGAGAGUUGCUCAAGGCUGAGGCAGCAAAAACAAUGUUUUUGGCUGUUCCCCUUGCCCUGGGGAACUGUGAUGCUGGUCUUUCUGGCAUUCUCUCUAGGCAGGCACACUGGGGAAUGUAUGCCUUCCUUUUAUACAUUUACAUCUUAAUUUCCCUGCAAACUUUCUGUUUCUUGGAUAACAGAGUUACAAUGUGCUCAGUUAGAAACGUGGACCAGGCCCUUAAAAACUUGUAAAAGCUUAUGAGAGAGCUCUGGCCCCUAGCCAAGGGAGUCUCCAGCUGCUGACUGACCCUGCCUGGAAAGUCAACUUGGGAGAUAUGCAAAUGUCCUAAUCCUCUUCCAAACUGCUCUAAGUAGGAUUUAUCCAGUGACCUGUAAAACCAAAUUAGUAAAGCGACACUUUAAUUCCAGCUUGUUAGAGAGCUUCUAAAAUUGUUGAGAAAGCCAACACAGCAAAUUCUGUGCUGGGGGGCUGAGAAAUGCAUCCUUAUUUUCAAAAGUAAAAUGUCCUCACUUUUUGAUGGUUUCUCUUGCUCACAUUAAUUCCACACACACAAGACAUAUCCUAAGUCUUGCACAGGAUUCCCCGGCGAAGGUGGGAAGCAAUUUUUGAGAAAAACAGAAAUAUGGUGGCCCGGAGAGGUCAAGUGAUUUUCAUCAGGUUCUGCAAAGUCCCGGGCCAGCUCUGGUCUCCUGACUCUAGUACAGAGAACAUUUGCACUGUUCUUAUUACUUACCCCAGGAGCUGGCUUAUUGCACAAUAUCAGGAAAUCGUUCAUAUGAAAGCCUGGCCCACAGAGCAUACAUGUUCUGUUUUUUAUUCUGCCGCUUUUUUAUAAAGUGUGUUUCCCUUUCCCAUAAUGUCAUCUGGAAGCAAUUCCUCCCAACAGCUGGAUUUGCUUUUACAAUUGGUAAACAUGUAAAAUGGAAGGCAGAGGAAGAUGCAGCGACUCACCAGAGCAGGCUUUUUUCCCACCCGCUUUGCUCAUGUUCUGAGGCUUAUCUUGGGUCUCUGCAUAAGCCUCAUCAAAACUGAGAAUGUCUUCAAACAUCCUCACAUUGCAUUCCCUCCUUCAGAAGGUCAACGUGUCUUUGGGGGAGAAAUUUUCUGAAUAUUUUGCAGAUAGAACUGAUCAGAUAUACACCAGAUUGCCAGCUGCCAAGAUGUUGUGCUCCAUGUGGAGGCCAACAGCCUCUUCCCAAAGUUCUGCUGCUCUCAGUACAGUCAGAACUCAAGGGACUGGCGGGAAGCCUCUCGGAGUGAAGCCUUCGCAGCACGACUGCCACCAAAGCUAGUAAAGAGAGGAUAAGAACCCCCAGGGCACUAACUGGGUCAUCGAGAAAGAUGCACACUCCCCAAACGCACUCCGUGAAGGACAGGCAGGCCUUCCUCAGGAACAAGUAUUCACAAACAGAAAUGCUGGCCAGCCCUCUGGAGUGGCCAAGGCCAAAGCACAGCUGUCUUCUGGCUGUUGGCUCACACAGUCUCCACUCGUCUCCAGGGGCUAUGAAGGCCCCUCCUCUAGGUUAGUUCCGGGCUCUUGUGUUUCUGGAAUCAAGAGGUUCAGGGGCACAGUUGAAGCUGGAAUACAGUACCAGGGAGAGGAGUCAGCCUCUAGGCACUCCCCCUCCCACGUAAGAAAUGCUGCUCUUUUGAUUAAAGUUUCUAAUAUGGCGAAAUCAGCCCAGCACGUGGCUCAGCGCUCGGAGGGAGCGUGGGAGUAUGUCAGUGAACAGACGGCCCCAGGAAGAUGUAGGAGAAGGGCAUAUGCCACCCGGCGCAGCUGCCUCGAUGAUCACAAUGUGGUGUGGGCCAGGCUGGGGUGGGGGACGGGGAGGGGGCGCACUUUCUUCCAAGCAUCACCAGCCUUCUGGGUAGCCAGGACCCCACUCUCCGUGUCCUGGGCCUUUGACUGAACAGUUCUCCAGGCAUUUAUGGGUGUCCCUCCCACAGGACAAACAAAAGGAAACUUGCCUGCUGCUGUUAGAGGACCCCAAAGAAGGCGACUCCCACAGCUCCACAGCACUAGCCACAGAUGUGCUUCCUCAAAUGGAGCCCACUUGCCUGAGCCCAGAGGAAGUGGAGUGCUCUCUCUCUGGGUUCUGCUUCUAUCCUGCGGUCUCUCUUCUCUCACUCUCCCCCAGCCUGGUGUAUGCUUCACCUUGUCUGGGACCAGGGGGUAGAAACUGCAUCAUAUGUCUUUCCAAAUUUCAUGGUCUCACCCCUGGAAUUUUGAAAAUCCACAAGUCCUGGUUGCAUGCUGCAGUUCAUUCCUUCAAGCCCUAGUGACUCUGGUCUCGCUGCCAGGGCUGUUCAAGUGAGGCCUCUGAGCACACCUGGAGAGAUUCAUUAAUGCUUCUGACAGGGGGAGGGUGGGUUAGAGGAACCCAUUGGUGGUGGUGGUGGUGGUGGCGGCAGUGGCGGUGGUUAGUUGCGUUAAGUCGGUUCCUGCUGGUAGGAACACUGCCCGGUCCUGUGCCUUCCUCGCGAUCAUUGUAAUGCUGGUUAAUACUUCAAAAUGAUCCUCUAGGUUAAAGAAACUGAAGAGACACACAACCAAAUGCAGUGUAUGGACCUUAUCUGAAUUCAAACAAACUAACUGGAAAAACACAUUUUUGGAUAAUGAGGAUAAUCAGGAAGAUUUUAAUUUUGACUGAUAUUAUAAAAUAUUAAAGAAUUAUUGUUAAUUUUGAUAUAUGUGAUGUGGUGCUAUAGUUAUGUAUGAAAAUGCCAUCUUUCAAAGGUGAUAUUGAGGUAUUUAGGGGUGACAUAUGAUGGCUAGGAUUUGUUUUAAGAUACUUUGGAAAAAAAUGACAGAAAUAUAAUGUAUUAGUGGUUAAAUCCAGAUGAUGGGUGUAUGGAAUUCUUUAUAUUAUUUUCUGUACUUUUAUGUUUGAAAAUUUCGUAAUAAAAUAAAAAAAUAAUUUUUUUUUUUUAAGAUGCUAUUCCAUCACAGAAACUCACAGGGGAGAACCAAAUAUACACCCACUUACCGGCCUCAAUGUUGACUGAAUUCUGUUCUUAACCCUUCUGAUGGUCAGACCCAGGGGUCAGUUAUGGGAUACAGGAGGGAGGUGACAGAGAGGGAUCAGUCAAAGAUGAUACCUAGAAGCUUUGACCAGGGGUCGUGGUACCACCCUCAGCUCAUUUGCCUGGCAAGGAGAGAGAAGGGAGCUUCUCUCCUAGAAUGAAGGCAGCCUUCUGCUCCCCAGCUUGCGCUGGCUGUCUGGGCUAUGGUUUCCUCCUGGGCAUGCUGCAUUGCUGCCUGAGCAGAGGCCACUGCAUGAGGGAAAGUAGGACACAGACCAUAUGCCACUACUAAAUGAAGUUCCUGUUAUUAAAACUUUGGAAUUCUCUUGCUGCCCUUAGCCACCAAGCUUCUACACACCCUCCUCAGGGUGCUGGCCAUCAUCUUCCACUGGCUUAAUCACAGACUUGUGUUAGGGAAUAACCCUACGCCAGGCCUAUGCUAGGCACUCGGUGCAGACGUGGGCAGGCCCAGGAGGGUCCUUUAGUUAAGGGUGAUCGUGUAAUUUGGGAGCUGGUAAGAGUGAUGGUUGAACAGCAUGAUAACAUAAUGACAAUGAUAACAUAAUGUCAAGGCAACGAAGAAGACCUCUUGUUAGAAGAGUUAAAGCAGGGACUGGCAUACACAUGUCGUCUUCCCAGCAAUGGCUACCUUCUCUUUAUAGCUUGAUCUACCAUCUUUAGCCUUGACCUGAUUUGGGGAGAUUCUUUACUUCAGGAUAAGAUUCUUUGCUAUUUUCUUACCUCCUUUCUUUGGUCUGUGACAUAGGCUUUCCUAGAGAAUCAUUUUUUUCCCUUCUGCAUUUGUGAUGGUUAAUUUUAUGUGUCACCUUGGCUAGGCUAUGAUUCUCAGUGGUUUGAAAAGGUGGUCUGGUUGCUGUUCUAGAAUAUAACUUAAUGCAAUGCAAUGUAAUGACCUUCCAUGAUGCGAUCGAUGUGAUCAACCAGUUGAAAAGGGAGUUUCUUUGGGGGUGUGGUCUGCCUGUAGAAUAUAAAUGGAUAUUUUGGCAGAGCUUACUCUCUUUUGACAGGGCCCCCUUCUCCUUGCCUGACCUAUGGAUCUUGGGAUGUAAGCUUGCAGAAGUCUCUGGCCUGCCACCUGACUAUGGAUUUUGAAACUGCCAGUCCCAGAACUACAGGAACCAAUUCAUUGAAGGCGCCAACACUGCAGAACAGAGAAGAAGGGUGACAUUGCACAAAGGGAGACCCACUGCAGUGACAUCAUGCAAGAGCUCAAAUGCUUUAUUUGCCAGUGGGGUCAUGAAAAGUCUAAAAUCAGGCUACAAAAAGUGAUUGAAAAAGGCCAAUGUAAACCAGAACACGAUUAAAGAGAAUGCUGACACCUUGUGAAAAGUGUAACUAAUGUCACUGAAUAAUUGUGUAGAAAUUGUCAAAUGGGAACCUAAUUUGCUGUGUAAACUUUCACCAAAAACAUAAUAAAAUAUUAUUAAAAAAAAAGAAAGAGUUACUGUAGAAGGUGUGAGAGUGUAAUUUUUCAAAAGCCAAAUACACAAAAGUUGAAAAUGUUGUCACAUCCCAAUUAGAAUGUAAGCACGUUAGGGGCAGGAGUGUUGUCCUUUUUGUAUAUUGCUGUAUCCCAGAACCUAGAGCAGGGUCUGGCACAUGGUGGGUGCUCAUUGCUUCCUGAAUGCAUAAACUGCCUAUGCAUUGGAAUUCUUGUAGCCACGUGUCACAUUCUAUCAUGUAUUAGCAUUAAUUGCAUUUUAUUUGAGACUGAAAGUUUCUUGAAAGCAGAAAUAAACCUUCUUUCUCAUGUGCCUCAAUCAUAGCUGAGAUCCAAUAAAUGUAUAUCGAACAGAUAGAAAUACAUUCUAGUUGGAACCAAUGAUGAUGAAAUAAUUUUAAAACAAAGUCCUAAUUAGGUCACGAGAAAAGCCACGGUCCAUGCUGUGGAAGUAGAUGAUUGUGAGAGAGCCCAGAAGUUUUAAGCUCUUGUCUAAAGUACUGUAUGGCAAGGAAAUAAAUUUCCUGCCCCAGAAAUCUGGAGAAAGAAUUCUCUUGUGGAUUUAAGUCUCAGAAAAAAAAGAGCCAAGCAAGGAGGCAGAGAAAGGAAGGUCUUUUCCAGGGCCUAUAGAUUAAGGGUAUUUAGAUACCACUUAAGAAAGGAACCAGACGCCAGCCAGGUUUGUGCUUUGGUUUAACCAUGUUCCCUGCAAAACUUGCUAAUGGGAAGAUCAGAAGAUCUGACGAUCAUUACUGAAGACGAUUCAGAAAAAUUAGCACCUACUCCCUGGUUGAAUGGAGAACAAGCCCAGUCUUUUUUUGGUGUCAACCUCUACUGAAAUGUGCUGUUGUCAAAUCAAAAAGGGGACAGAUCUAGAAUUUUAUAACUCUGAUGAAAGUGAAAUAAAAGGAAAUCUGUAUCAUUUUAAUCAAAGCUUGUGCUACCUGAGUCGGCUCCCUGUCUUGUCCCUUGGCCUUGGUGAUCUUGUGUGCUGGAGGUUAAGGGUUUGUUAAAGAAGAGGGGUUUUGAUUAAGUGUCACAUUUAGCGUGAUGUGACACGCUCUUUAUCAUUGUAAGGGAAGAUUGUGGGCCAGGGGAGCUUUAUAGCUAGUUCCCAAUAUAAAUUAGGAGUCUUGGGGAAUUAGGUGCUUUGCAGUUGGCCUUGAUCUUUCAAGGACCCAAUGAAUGUGUGUAUGUGAGAGUGUGCGCGUGUGUGUGUACGCGCGCGCGCAUGCCUUUGGAGAGGUGGCAGAAAAGACAAUUUCCAGGUUCCUGUGCUAAUGGGCUGGUUACCCCUAUUGGAGUUUGACUUGCAAUUGUAACAUAAGGUUCCCAUUCUAAAUUUGCCUGUGUUCUUGAUGUACCAGGCAAAGGUCUCCAUGCCUUUUACUCCUUUGGAAUUUCAGUGAUGCUAAGGGAAAUCUCAAAGCAUUCAUUCAUCCCUCCUGGGGGUCACUGCGUGAAUUUGAGGGUAGAGAAGCAAGAGGAAGGCUUCCAAGUGCCAAACACCAUUUCUAACUGGAGGCCAUGGGGAAUGCCUGCCCUGACUUCACCUAGAGAAAGGAGUGCAGGCAGAGCCAGAGCCUCCUCCCUCCAAAUCUAAGAGUCUGAUUAUGGCCUCAUUUGCAGCGGUGGGAGCACAGAGAGAACAGGGGCACAGAAGAGCCCUGGGGUGCUCAAGCAGAAGGCAAAGAUGGGGGCAGGGAUCAUGGAAAACACCCUGGAAGGGCCACUCCCACCCAACAGGCACCCCACCCCCAGAUUAAUCUUCCAAAAAUAUCACUUGCAUCAAGUUCCUCUUCUGUUCAAAACUCUUCAAUAACCUUUCCUCCCCUCCUAUUGCCCACAAAAGACAACCUGAACUCUCUGCCCCGGCAUUCAUUGACACACAGCAUCUGGCCCCUGCCAAAUCCAUCUAUUCACCACCCCCAAAUGACUUUUUCCUAUCCUUAAGCAUUUGUUCAUGCUGCUGCCCUGCUUAGAAUUCCUUCCCUGUUUCUCUCUCCCAUGGAAAGGCUAUUCAUCUUCCAAGGGGUGGCUGAAGCCCUUCUUCAUGAAGGAGUCCCAACCCACUUGAGAUAACUUGUUUUAUUUAUUCCAAAAGUAGGAACUGAGAACCUACGAAGUGCCCAGCCCCGUACUGUUCUAGGUACCUAGGAUCGAUUAGAGAACAAAAUAGAUAAAGAUGCCUGCCUUCAAGUAGCUUAUAUUACAGUGGGGGAUUUCUGACAGUAAACAUUAAAUAUAAUACACAAGUAAAUUAGAGUGUGUUAGUAGUUGAUAGUUGCUAUGGACAAAAGAACAAAAUAGGUCAGGGAAAGGGAGAUCAGGAGAUUCCGAGGUCUGGGGGAAAGGAGCAAGUUCAGUAUUAAUAAAGACGGUCAGUAUUAAUUGAGAUGAUGUAAGACUUAAGAAGGGUGAGGAAGUUAGCCAAGUAGAUAACUGGGGGAAGAAAGUUCUAGGCAGAGGAAACAUCUAGAGCAAGGCCUCAGGCAGAAGCGUGCCUGUUUUGUUCAAGCUGAUACAAAGAGGUUAUUGUGGGUAGAGGGGAGUGAGCUGAGCGAGAGGGUUCAGAGUAGAAAAGGUAGGCAGAGGUGAUGGGGUUUCUGUAGGACUGGUACUUUGAACUCUGAGCAAGACAGGAGCCAUUGCAGGGUGUGAGCAGAGGAGGGACAUGACUGGUGGACUGGGCAACAUAUUUCACAACUACUCCUGGAGUGCUUUGAGAACUUCAUGAAGUUUCAUUUUCGGUAACUUCAUGAAUUGCUUGUGAAGAGUUCCAUAUCUCGUAUUUCCUGAGUUUAAAUCUUGCCUUCACCAGAUACAGAAAUGUUACCUCGGGUAAUCCAGUAAACACUGAUGAAACAUCUAUUUUCACAGUGCCCAGUUCUAGAGAAAUACAGAUGAAUAAGACAUGUCAGCUGGCCUUAGGGAAUUCACAGUCUGAGACUCAUUUAUAGAAAGAAUCAUGCCAGCUAUAUCUCAGAGAUGUUUGAAGACUAGAUUGCUUCAUGUAGUGAAAACAUCUAGCAUAUCUUUCUCAGAUUGGAAUAGAGCUUUUUUUAAAAUAACCAAGUAGGUAUUUAUACCGGUUAAGAUACUCUUGAUUACAUGAAAUAGAAAAACCCAUUCAGAUUGGUUUAAACAGUAAGAGGAAUUUGUCGGCUCAUCUCUCUGCAAUGUCCAAAGGUAGUUUCAGACAGGAUUUGAUCCAGCAACA